GAUGGGCUUCUUGAAAUGACCCUACAAAGCACUACUACUACAGUAUGGCAAUGUCAAGGGGAGAAUCGGUCACCAUCAUCCUAAUGAUUUGUUCUGUUGUGGUAGCAGAGGCAUUCACUUUUUCUCAGCUCACAGAUGAGCAUAGAAUUCAACCCCACCUUCGAAUGAAACGGUCUG